rnacentral:lncRNA from 1 species
GACAACCUCAGAAUAGAAUUGAAUAAAUCAAGUUUAUCAUUAAAACGCAAAGAAAAAAAAACUCUCCAAACGUUGCUGAUCUUCUGUUUUAAACUACUGUUAGACUGGUGAGCUGGAGAGCCGGGGGAAUCCACCAAAGAUUUUUGGAUGAAAAUUAAUCAUCCCUUGUCCACCGUAGUCGCACCCCAAUGCCCCUCAGAUCCAGUCCUUCGAAGGAGUGUCCAAGAGGUAUAAAGCAAAACCGGAAAAACAGUUCCCAAAUUCUGGAGUUUGUUUUCUCUCAUUAAAAAUAUAAAUAUCAGGCUAACACCUAUUGACACACAAUAACAGGGACACAGAAUCCCUCCCGGAAGACCCAUGGGCCCACGGACCCCGCGGAUGCCACAGUGGUUGACGAGGUUAAGUAACUGGGUUCAGGGUGUCUGGGCAUACCUGUGCGUGAGACUCUGUCUCCGCUGCUCCCCUCAUCUCCACUGCUCCCCUCGUCUCCCCACGAUCCUCCCUUUUCCUUGGGCCGCUGAUGGCUCUCCGACUCACGAAGAGUCUCCCUGGCCCCUGCAGCUCUCUCCUUCCCAGACCUUUACUUCUUGAUCCUCACUCCAUAGUGAGAUGUGGCCUAAGGUAGGGGAAAGUCCAGCACGAGAAUCCGUCUGAUGGCCUUUGGAUUACUCAGGGGUGUGCCCGGAGACUAGAUGAAAGUAGCAAAGGCUUUAUUUAGUUCCCAGUACUCCAAACUGCAGCAAACCACCGGAAACACCCCCACUUUCAAAGACAGGCUUUGAGCAGAGGAAAUGUAAUUUCAAGAUUAGAUCCAGCACAGAGAAUAUUCCAGAGGUGGCAGGUUUAGCUUCCAGCCACCACGACUCAAGGCCCCUAAAUGCUGUACAGCCUGUGUAGUACAAUAACUUUGUUGGCUAGAAAUGUAAUAGCCCUUCAAGCAUGAACUUGGAGCAUGAAGGGUAAGAAGGCCUGCUUUGGCCGGGAGUUGAACCCAGGUCUCCCGCGUAGGUGGGGAGAAUGCCACCGCUGAACUACCAAUGCUCCACUGAGUGCGGUUUCACUAGAUCUAAUUUUGAAGAGUCUCUGGAAGGACUUUGAAGCAGUGUUUCUAAAAUAGAUUUGUAUAGGACUCUUGAGUAGACACACCGAGCAAACAGAAAGGACACCCAGAGCAAAGCCUUGCAUAGGAGACGUAUGUCAGGCAACAUUAUCAAGUUAUUUAUAAUGGCAUUUAAAUCAACAUACCAGAUUUGAAAGAGCCUAAUUGUGAAACAGGCUCUAUACAACUAGAUAACAGACCUCUAUGGAAAUACACAGGAAAUUCAUCCAGGCCUUUGUCUCUGGUCCCAGAUCUGGCAAAAACCUCUGGAAAUUUCAUUUCCUCACUGAUGAUGUAAUCUUUUUGCCAACCCAUGCCUUGGUGUUUCCCAAACUCUUUCCUCUCAACCUUGAGACAAUCACAAAUUCUUUCCCUAAACAGGCUUUCAAAGACCCAGGAGCUGGAGAUUUAGGGAUGUGUCCAGGUUACCCUGGAAGAUCUGUGGGAUGAUGGAGCUUCUCUUCCUCUACACCUCUUUUGAGUCAUGUGAAAAAGCCAAGUAUCUUGCUUCUAAAUUCAUAUGUUUUUGAGAAACCUACAAAGAGAUCUGCACAAGAGAGAAAGUGAAAAUUUCACUCCAAGAUUUCUUCCCUUGGCAAACAACAGAAGGUUUAGGACAAGCCUUUUCUCUAAGUGCCUGUUGCUUUGUUAGCUCUGUUUUCCAAAGACAUCUGUGUUGUGGAUCUGGUCAGAAAGAGUGGGAAUUCAGUGACUUUACUAGUUCUGGAUGGGGAUUCCUAUGAGAAAGCAGUGAAAACACGGGUGGACUUGAAAGAGUUGGGUCAAAGUCAGAAGGAGCAAGGUUUGAGUGAUAAUAUACUUUCCCCUGUGAUGAAUGGAGGUGUGCAAACUUGGACCCAGCCCCGGCUCUGCUAUCUCGUGAAGGAGGGAGGCAGCCAUGGCUUCUCUCUGAAAACUGUCCAAGGUAAAAAGGGGGUAUACAUGACUGAUAUUACACCUCAAGGUGUGGCUAUGAGAGCUGGAGUUCUGGCUGAUGAUCACUUGAUUGAAGUGAAUGGAGAGAAUGUAGAGGAUGCCAGCCAUGAGGAAGUGGUUGAAAAGGUGAAGAAGUCAGGAAGCCGUGUCAUGUUCCUGCUGGUGGACAAAGAAACUGACAAGCGUCAUGUUGAGCAGAAGAUACAAUUCAAAAGAGAAACAGCCAGUUUGAAACUGUUACCCCACCAGCCCCGAAUUGUGGAGAUGAAGAAAGGAAGCAAUGGCUAUGGUUUCUAUCUGAGGGCAGGCUCAGAACAGAAAGGUCAAAUCAUCAAGGACAUAGAUUCUGGAAGUCCAGCAGAGGAGGCUGGCUUGAAGAACAAUGAUCUGGUAGUUGCUGUCAACGGCGAGUCUGUGGAAACCCUGGAUCAUGACAGUGUGGUAGAAAUGAUUAGAAAGGGUGGAGAUCAGACUUCACUGUUGGUGGUAGACAAAGAGACGGACAACAUGUACAGACUGGCUCAUUUUUCUCCAUUUCUCUACUAUCAAAGUCAAGAACUGCCCAAUGGCUCUGUCAAGGAGGCUCCAGCUCCUACUCCCACUUCUCUGGAAGUCUCAAGUCCACCAGAUACUACAGAGGAAGAAGAUCAUAAGCCUAAACUCUGCAGGCUGGCUAAAGGUACAGAAGGGCGGUCCUGCUGACUUGGCUGGGCUAGAGGAUGAGGAUGUCAUCAUUGAAGUGAAUGGGGUGAAUGUGCUAGAUGAACCCUAUGAGAAGGUGGUGGAUAGAAUCCAGAGCAGUGGGAAGAAUGUCACACUUCUAGUCUGUGGAAAGAAGGCCUAUGAUUAUUUCCAAGCUAAGAAAAUCCCUAUUGUUUCCUCCCUGGCUGAUCCACUUGACACCCCUCCAGAUUCUAAAGAAGGAAUAGUGGUGGAGUCAAAGCAUGACUCGCACAUGGCAAAAGAACGGGCCCACAGUACAGCCUCACAUUCUUCUUCCAAUUCUGAAGAUACAGAGAUGUGAUGAAAACAAGUAAUAGCUUUGGCUGUUUAUUUGAUAGCUGUUUCUGGGUAUUUAAUAGGAAUCCUUUCUCAAAGAAUGAGUUGCGACCUGUUUACUGUCUCUUUAGAAGAAAAACUCCACUGGAAACCAUUCACCAUGUGUGAUUGUCUUCUGUUAUCAUUUGUCUUACAGGCGGCUAUUGCAGACGGCUAAUUUAUGCUUAACUUAGGAAGAGAUAAGGCAAGAGCUAGAUUUUUUUCAUGUGAUCUUUUCCAAGCUUCAACUUAACUACAUUUCUCUGUAUGAUGAUGUCUCUUACUUCUACAGGUUCCUUGAGCACCAAAGAUGAUUCAUAACUCUGUAUAGGUGACAGCUGCUUAUAAAAGCAUCUUAGCAGAUAAGCCUAUUAAAAUUGUGCUUUUGUAACAAUGUUGUGGUUGCUAGAAUAAAUACCAUUAAC